AACGUAGGUGGCGAGCGUUAUCCGGAUUUACUGGGCGUAAAGGGUGUGCAGGCGGGUGAACAAGGGGGGUAUGAAAGGUUUCGGCUCAACCGAGAUAGGUUAUGCCAGACUGUUUACCUAGAGUGUGAGAGAGGGACGUGGAAUUCCGGGUGUAGUGGUGGAAUGCGUAGAUAUCCGGAAGAACACCGGUGGCGAAGGCGGUGGUCUGGACCAAAACUGACGCUGAGGAGCGAAAGCCAGGGGAGCAAACGGG
rnacentral:rRNA from 1 species